AAUAUAUUAAUACGAACAUAAACCAUCUUCUUCACCCGUUGAGAAACUACGAUCGUUAGGGUGAAAUGUUAGGGAGUUAAUUGGAUUAAAGUGUCCUUUUAAACGCGCAAACUUUUCAAAUACUAAAUGAAAGAAUCAGGAAUUGACGUUUCUUUGCAGUGAACGUGCACAUCCAAAAUCCAUUUCUUUGGUUCUACCCCGUGUAUUUUACGCGGUUCUUUGAUGCCAUAUUGGUUUCUAUUCACGAUUCAUCCAAUGAGGAGAGUCGCUGACUGUAAAUAAAUAUGAAAUAAAACACGUUGGUAACGGCCAUUUUGAGCGGGAUUUUGAAUCGUGAGUAUCGGAUCAGUUUUGAGUUAUCCUUUACUUUCCUGCUGCCGUGAGGACAAUACAUCCUGUACCUCGUCCAAUGUACUAUUACAGUGUUACGUGUGACGAUAUCCCAUAAGAUGACAAAUUCGUUAUCGCUUGCGACGUGACGAUUGAAUUGAAUAUAAUUUUCAUAUUUGUUGUAGCAAAUCCUAGAAAACGUAAGAGACACACUGAUUUUUCUCGUGAUCGGUAUUUCAGAAUGUGAGAUACAAAUGAAUAAAUAAAUUCCAUAAUAAAUCCCGUAUAGUGUCAGGUCUAUUCUGUAUUUAGUCAAUGAUUAAGUCAAUGACUCGACACAGAUAAAAUUAAAAUUACCGUCCCAUUGAUACGCUUAUGUAACGAUGCAGCACGUCAUUCACACGAUGAGUAUGUUAGAUAUACGUAUAUUGCGAAAGAAUGAUAACGGUUUGACUCAACAUACUAAAAUUUAUUAUCACAGGUUCAAUGUAUAUUGUCGGAUGACAGUUAAAGACUAAAAUGUAAAAAAAUAAGAUUAAAAAUUAUUCAAUGUUCCCUAGAAAUCAGCAAACUUGUUCACGCGGACGUAUGCAAGUAUAAGAUCCUCUAACCGUUAAUCCAAUGACGCAUAUCCAACAACUUAUUUUAUAUAAAAAAUAAAAGAGUAGAAGAUUAUGAAAAUCCUUUGACACUUUAUAAAAAAAGUUAUAGACUUCAAACCAGUCUACUCACAACAAUGUAUAAAAGAAUAUCAAAGCUCGCUCUAUGGAAUUUGCGAGUGCAGAUGAUUAAUGUUUCCUUAAUUAAUCCAACAAAUGAUCUGCAUAAUUGAAGAAGAAUAAUACAGAAAACAUAAAGUGCAUGAUACAUGCGAUAUCUCUUUCCUUCAGUUUCGUAAUCAAUUAGUUGUUGCUGACGAAAAUGUCGGAUGUACUAUUAGAGUAUAAAUAUAAUCUCGUAAACAAGA